CUACACAUGCAAGUCGAGCGAUGAAGCCCUUCGGGGUGAAUUAGCGGCGGACGGGUGAGUAACACGUGGGUAACCUGCCUUAUAGAGGGGGAUAGCCUUCCGAAAGGAAGAUUAAUACCGCAUAACAUAUUUUUAUCACAUGGUAGAGAUAUCAAAGGAGUAAUCCGCUAUAAGAUGGACCCGCGGCGCAUUAGCUAGUUGGUGAGGUAACGGCCCACCAAGGCGACGAUGCGUAGCCGACCUGAGAGGGUGAUCGGCCACAUUGGAACUGAGACACGGUCCAGACUCCUACGGGAGGCAGCAGUGGGGAAUAUUGCGCAAUGGGGGAAACCCUGACGCAGCAACGCCGCGUGAAUGAAGAAGGCCUUAGGGUUGUAAAGUUCUGUUUUCUGGGACGAUAAUGACGGUACCAGAGGAGGAAGCCACGGCUAACUACGUGCCAGCAGCCGCGGUAAUACGUAGGUGGCAAGCGUUGUCCGGAUUUACUGGGCGUAAAGGAUGCGUAGGCGGAUGUUUAAGUGAGAUGUGAAAUACCCGAGCUCAACUUGGGUGCUGCAUUUCAAACUGGAUAUCUAGAGUGCAGGAGAGGAAAGCGGAAUUCCUAGUGUAGCGGUGAAAUGCGUAGAGAUUAGGAAGAACACCAGUGGCGAAGGCGGCUUUCUGGACUGUAACUGACGCUGAGGCAUGAAAGCGU
rnacentral:rRNA from 1 species